rnacentral:rRNA from 1 species
GAUGAACGCUGGCGGCGUGCCUAAUACAUGCAAGUCGAGCGAACGGACGAGAAGCUUGCUUCUCUGAUGUUAGCGGCGGACGGGUGAGUAACACGUGGAUAACCUACCUAUAAGACUGGGAUAACUUCGGGAAACCGGAGCUAAUACCGGAUAAUAUUUUGAACCGCAUGGUUCAAAAGUGAAAGACGGUCUUGCUGUCACUUAUAGAUGGAUCCGCGCUGCAUUAGCUAGUUGGUAAGGUAACGGCUUACCAAGGCAACGAUGCAUAGCCGACCUGAGAGGGGGAGCGGCCACACGGGAACUGAGACGCGGUCCAGGCUCCUACGGGGGGCAGAGGUAGGGAAUUUUCCGCAAUGGGCGAAAGCCUGAAGGAGCAACGCCGGGGGAGGUAUGAAGGUCUUCGGAUCGUAAAACUCUGUUAUUAGGGAAGAACAAUUGUUUAAGUAACUGGGCACAUUUUGACGGUACCUAAUCAGAAAGCCACGGCUAACUACGG